UUCCAAUGAUGAGCUUGCCAUGCUAAUACCGAUGCACCAGAGUUUAACUCUGGGUGUAAGUGAGUUCAACUAAACUUCUCACACUCGCAGUGUGCUCUGAGGAAA